ACUUUUGCAAUAUUGAAGAUAGCAACUUCAUAUUUGACAUGCAUGUGUAUCUCAUAGAGCUGCACAUUUUGAGUUGUGAAAAGUCAAGGUCAUCCUUCAAGGUCAAAGGUCAAAUAUAUGGGUCAAAAUCGCUAAUUUAAUGUACACUUUUGCAAUAUUGAAGAUAGCAACUUGAAUAUGGUAUGCAUGUGUAUCUCAUGGAGCUGCACAUUGUGAGUGGUGAAAGGUCAAGGUCAUCCUUCAAGGUCAAACGUCAAAAUAUGGGGACAUAGUGUUUCACAAACACAUCGCUUGUUUUAUAUAUUUAUGCCCCCCUUCGAAGAAGAGGGGGUAUAUUGCUUUGCUCAUGUCGGUCUGUCUGUCGGUCGGUCCGUCCACCAGGUGGUUGUCAGACGAUAACUCAAGAACGCUUGGGCCUAGGAUCAUGAAACUUCAUAGGUUCAUUGAUCAUGACUCGCAGAUGACCCCUAUUGAUUUUGAGGUCACUAGGUCAAAGGUCAAGGUCAAGGUGACCAGAAAUAGUAAAAUGGUUUUUGAAUGAUAACUCAAGAACGCAUUCACCUAGGAUCAUGAAACUUCAUGGGUAGAUUGAUCAUGACUUGCAGAUGACCCCUAUUGAUUUUGAGGUCACUAGGUCAAAGGUCAAGGUCACGGUGACCCGAAAUAGUAAAAUGGUUUUCGGAUGAUAACUCAAGAACGCAUACGCCUAGGAUCAUGAAACCUCAUAGGUAGAUUGAUCAUGACUUGCAGA